AGCAGCCGCGGUAAUUCCAGCUCCAAUAGCGUAUAUUAAAGUUGCUGCAGUUAAAAAGCUCGUAGUUGAAUUUCGGGACUAAUAUGUUGGUCGUGCCUCGGUACGUACUGAUAUUUUUGGUUUCUCCCUUCUGACGAACCUUGAUGUCAUUAAUUUGGUGUCUUGGGAAAUCAGGACUGUUACUUUGAAAAAAUUAGAGUGUUUAAAGCAGGCUCACGCUUGAAUACAUUAGCAUGGAAUAAUGAAAUAGGACGUUUGAUUCUAUUUUGUUGGUUUCUAGGAUCGACGUAAUGAUUAAUAGGGAUAGUUGGGGGCAUUAGUAUUCAAUUGUCAGAGGUGAAAUUCUUGGAUUUAUUGAAGACUAACUACUGCGAAAGCAUUUGCCAAGGAUGUUUUCAUUAAUCAAGAACGAAAGUUAGGGGAUCGAAGACGAUCAGAUACCGUCGUAGUCUUAACCAUAAACUAUGCCGACUAGGGAUCGGAUGAUGUUAAUUUUUUAAUGACUCAUUCGGCGCCUUAC
rnacentral:ncRNA from 2 species